GAAAUGCGAUACUUGGUGUGAAUUGCAGAAUCCCGUGAACCAUCGAGUCUUUGAACGCAAGUUGCGCCCGAAGCCAUUAGGCCGAGGGCACGCCUGCCUGGGUGUCACACAUCGUUUCCCCAACGCAAACAUGUAACAAUGUUGCUGCGCGGGGUGUAUGCUGACCUCCCGCCUUCGCCGUGAUAAAAUGGUGGAUGAGCCACGCUCGAGACCAAUCACGUGCGAGCCGGUCAGUUCUGGACCCAUCGACGACCCUUUGCGUGCACGCACGCUCCCAACGAGACCUCAGGUCAGGCGGGGCUACCCGCUGAGUUUAA
rnacentral:misc_RNA from 1 species